GAUGAACGCUGGCGGCGUGCCUAAUACAUGCAAGUCGAACGCAGCUGGGACGGGUGAGUAACACGUGGGUAACCUCCUCUAAGCCUGGGAUAACUUCGGGAAACCGGAGCUAAACCGGAUACUUAUAGUUGACUUCGCGUGGAAUUAGCUGGUUGGUAAGGUAACGGCUAACCAAGGCAACGAUGCAUAGCCGACCUGGGAGGGGGAUCGGCCACACGGGAACUGAGACACGGUCCAGACUCCUACGGGAGGCAGAAGUAGGGAAGCUUCCGCAAUGGGCGAAAGCCUGACGGAGCAAGGCCGCGUGAGGGAGGAAGGUCUUCGGAUCGUAAAACUCUGUGAUUAGGGAAGCGGUACCUAACCAGAAAGCCACGGCUAACUACGUGCCAGCAGCCGCGGUAAUUC
rnacentral:rRNA from 1 species